rnacentral:rRNA from 1 species
UUUGAUCAUGGCUCAGAUUGAACGCUGGCGGCAGGCUUAACACAUGCAAGUCGAGCGGUAGCACAGAGAGCUUGCUCUCGGGUGACGAGCGGCGGACGGGUGAGUAAUGUCUGGGAAACUGCCUGAUGGAGGGGGAUAACUACUGGAAACGGUAGCUAAUACCGCAUAACGUCGCAAGACCAAAGUGGGGGACCUUCGGGCCUCAUGCCAUCAGAUGUGCCCAGAUGGGAUUAGCUAGUAGGUGGGGUAACGGCUCACCUAGGCGACGAUCCCUAGCUGGUCUGAGAGGAUGACCAGCCACACUGGAACUGAGACACGGUCCAGACUCCUACGGGAGGCAGCAGUGGGGAAUAUUGCACAAUGGGCGCAAGCCUGAUGCAGCCAUGCCGCGUGUGUGAAGAAGGCCUUCGGGUUGUAAAGCACUUUCAGCGGGGAGGAAGGCGUUAAGGUUAAUAACCUUGGCGAUUGACGUUACCCGCAGAAGAAGCACCGGCUAACUCUGUGCCAGCAGCCGCGGUAAUACGGAGGGUGCAAGCGUUAAUCGGAAUUACUGGGCGUAAAGCGCACGCAGGCGGUCUGUCAAGUCGGAUGUGAAAUCCCCGGGCUCAACCUGGGAACUGCAUUCGAAACUGGCAGGCUAGAGUCUUGUAGAGGGGGGUAGAAUUCCAGGUGUAGCGGUGAAAUGCGUAGAGAUCUGGAGGAAUACCGGUGGCGAAGGCGGCCCCCUGGACAAAGACUGACGCUCAGGUGCGAAAGCGUGGGGAGCAAACAGGAUUAGAU